CCCAAGUGCGCCCGGCUAGUAAGUACCCCGCAUCGGUUAAGUCAGGGAACAAUUAACACCUGGAACUGGCGCGAACGGCUUGAUAAAUCUACCCCUCAGUGUCUCAGUUUUCCUUUCUUUCCUU